GGCUCGAGGACGAACGCUGGCGGCGUGCCUAACACAUGCAAGUCGAGCGAUGAAGCCCUCGGGUGGAUUAGCGGCGGACGGGUGAGUAACACGUGGGGUAACCUGCCUCAAAGAGGGGGGAUAGCCUCCCGAAAGGAGAUUAAUACCGCAUAACAUAGUUUUUCGCAUGAAGAACUAAUUAAAGGAGUAAUCCGCUUUGAGAUGGACCCGCGGCGCAUUAGCUAGUUGGUGAGGUAAAGGCUCACCAAGGCGACGAUGCGUAGCCGACCUGAGAGGGUGAUCGGCCACAUUGGAACUGAGACACGGUCCAGACUCCUACGGGAGGCAGCAGUGGGGAAUAUUGCACAAUGGGCGAAAGCCUGAUGCAAGCAACGCCGCGUGAGUGAUGAAGGCCUUCGGGUUGUAAAGCUCUGUCUUUUGGGACGAUAAUGACGGUACCAAAGGAGGAAGCCACGGCUAACUACGUGCCAGCAGCAGC
rnacentral:rRNA from 1 species